GAUAUCAUCAUUACUAUAACAGGUCAGUGAGGUAUCAUUACUAUAACAGGUCAGUGAGGUAUCAUUAUUAUAACAGGUCAGUGAGAUAUCAUUACUAUAACAGGUCAGUGAGGUAUCAUUACUAUAACAGGUCAGUGAGGUAUCAUUAUUAUAACAGGUCAGUGAGAUAUCAUUAUUAUAACAGGUCAGUGAGAUAUCAUCAUUACUAUAACAGGUCAGUGAGAUAUCAUUAUUAUAACAGGUCAGUGAGAUAUCAUUAUUAUAACAGGUCAGUGAGGUAUCAUUACUAUAACAGGUCAGUGAGAUAUCAUUACUAUAACAGGUCAGUGAGGUAUCAUUACUAUAACAGGUCAGUGAUAUAUCAUUAUUAUAACAGGUCAGUGAGGUAUCAUUACUAUAACAGGUCAGUGAGAUAUCAUCAUUACUAUAACAGGUCAGUGAGAUAUCAUUACUAUAACAGGUCAGUGAGAUAUCAUCAUUACUAUAACAGGUCAGUGAGGUAUCAUUAUUAUAACAGGUCAGUGAGAUAUCAUUACUAUAACAGGUCAGUGAGAUAUCAUUACUAUAACAGGUCAGUGAGAUAUCAUUAUUAUAACAGGUCAGUGAGGUAUCAUUAUUAUAACAGGUCAGUGAGGUAUCAUUACUAU